rnacentral:tRNA from 1 species
GUCCCCAUCGUCUAGAGGCCUAGGACACCGCCCUUUCAAGGCGGCAACGGGGGUUCGAUUCCCCCUGGGGACGCCA